rnacentral:rRNA from 1 species
AUGGACUCGAAGGUUAAUGUGGGAAAUUCUAGUGUAGUAGUAAAUGGGGAAAGGAGGAUCUGGAAUAAUAUCUUGAAAGCUAAUGUCCCUCAGAAGAUUAGAAUUUUUGCUUGGCGGGUGGCUUCAAAUAGUUUGGCAGUUCAAGUUAAUAGGGUUAAACACCAUCAAGCAAUCCUAAGAACGUGCACAAUUUGUGGCAUCGAAGAUGAAUGCACUUUUCAUGCUUUGGUGAGUUGCCCAAAGGCACGUGCACUUCGUUUGGCUUUGAGAAAAGUGUGGAAUUUGCCUGCCGAAGUGCUUUUUAAAAAUACUGGGCCAGAUUGGUUUCUUAUUUUACUGGAUCAAUUAAGUCCAACAGUGCGUGAGCAAACUAUUUUCACGUUAUGGAGAGCUUGGCACUUGAGGAAUGAUUUGAUUUUUGCUAAAGGUAAAGAAUCC